GAAGGAAGGUAAAAAUAUAUUUGACAUUUCUAAUUUAAACCCGAGAACAAAACACAAUGAUUUAUUUAUAUAGUCUUUUGACCAAUGUUACAAUGCAGGGGUGGGGAAAAACAGCGGGUCAUCCUUAAUGUAAUGUAAAUAUCAUGCAAUAUCAAACCAAAAGAAAUAAAACUGCAGAUAAACUCAACCUCAGGGCAAUACCAGGUCAGGCAGCACAAUAUAGUGAACCCAAGAAAUACGCCUAUUGCAUGUACAUUGGAUUGCAAGCUACCACAAACACUCAAACAGUAAACCUAGAUACAUUCUUAGUGUUACAUGCUAUAAGCAUCCAAUAAACCCAUUCGAUUUAACUCUUUGUUAGAAUUAAAAACAGUUCAGUUAAGGUUACAGAACACCUUUGAGUGUUAAUUUUGCCUAAAUUUUUUUUAUUGGUUCCAUGAAAGCAUUAGACUAGUUCUACUAUCUGACCAAGUUUGGACGAAAAAUGUUGAAAACUCGCAGAGUUAUUUAAUAAAAUACAUUUCGCUGCAAUAAGAAAAACAUUGAAAAUGUAAUAUUCAAAUUCAAUUUUCUCCCGAAAAAUUUUACGGUAAUUACUGAUUUUCAAACGAGUUGUGCUCCUGCGGGUGUUAACCAAUUUUUCUCAAAUUUUCACAGGACAUAGCUAAAGACGUCAGUUUCAAAAUUGUGUUCGGCUUUUUUUUAAUUUUGGAUAUUUUAAUAAUAAAGAGCAAUUCACUCAAACAAUUCAGAAAUAUAUUGUAGUCGUCAAAGAAAUCGCCAUAUCAGCGGAAUGACGAAAUAAACAGAAAUUUCCGAACACAAUUUUUUAGAACAACUAUUUUACUGUAUAAAAAUGAUAUUUUCAUAAAUAUAACUUAAAACCAGCAGGAGCACAACUCAAAAGCGUAACGGUACCGGGAUUUAAGAUUUUCCUGAAUAAUUCUUACAUUAUUUUAUUGUUUGUUAAUUUUACAACUUUACCAUAUUUUGCAUACCCUGGCGAACAUUUGGUGAAAAUGUGAUUAAAAUCGGACUGAUAUUGAGCGCGCAGUAGCGGUUUUCCGCAAAACGCCAAAAAGGGUGUCCUGUAACCUUAAUUGUUUUGUUGUAAGUUAGUAUAACUGUCGAUAACUCAGAAAAGUUAGUAUUUACUGUAACUGUCGAAAACUUUCUUGGUCCCAGAAAAUAAAACAUUUUUUCAACCCCUGCAUAUACGAUGAGAGUUAAUGGCCAAUCCCAUAUUAAUCAAAAUUCCAUCCCAGCAUGAAAGAGCAUCACAAAAUUAGUAAUAUUCCAAAGUUUCGUUGCGAAAUGUUGUAAAAUGCGGAUAAUAUAGCCAUGCGAAGUUUGUAAUUUUCAGUCAUUUUGUAUUACGCACGGAAGUGGUAACCAUUUCCCGUUUGUAAUACAAAAUGACUGAAAAUUGCAAAUUUCGCAAGGCUAUACAUUAUCAGCAUUUUACAACAUUUCGCAACGAAACUUUGGAAUAUUACUAAUUUUGUGACUCUCUUUCAAGCUGUGAUGAAAUUUUUGUCUAGACUUGUUGAGUUCAAAAUUUUGGUUAAUGUGGGAUUGGUCCAUUAAAUAUAUUAGUUUUGCCUUAUUGUUCAAUAUUGACCACUCAUUUUAUAUGUAUAUAGGUAUAUAGUAUAGAAUGGGUGGCCAACUAAAAUUUAAAAUCAAAAGAAGCCACGUACAGAGAAGCAAGUUUCCCCUGACACGUUUCAUUUGUUCGUGUGCACGGCAAGGAGCUUUGUUGAAAAGCUGGUCAUGCCAGUUCUUCAACAAGGAAAAGUGUUCGCCCAUUGACAUUAAAUAUCGUUUAUAUUGUGGUAAGACAGUUCCAACUGUUUUUAAUUUUGUUGGAAGUGGCUUGGACGAAAAUUAUCAUAACAUUGUUCACGUACUGAAAUAAAGCGGGCUCGUAAAAACUUGUCAAGGAAAAAUUCAUGCAAAAAAACUUGUUCGACGUACAUACUGUACGAGCGAAUAAACUCUUCAAGGAAAACUCGCUCGUCUUUAUACGGGGCUUGAGUCAAUAAACACAUAUGGUCCGGAAGCUCGGGUUUUUUGUGAAGAUGAUUCACCGUACACAAAUCUUUUGAGAUUUUUGGUACGAGUUUUUGAACAGUACAGAUGCCAUCAGAUGCAUGAUUGCCUCAUUUUAAGGGGUUAUACAUAUAAGCCCAGCUAACCAGCUAACGCAUAUAACAUUUAAUUUGUGUUCAUAUAGUCAGGCAGAUAGGAGGGGAAAAACUCACUCGAGAAAAAUUCUAUAUUAAGGCUGGUAAGUAUAUUUUUGUAUGUUGGCGGCGUUUAAAUGUCUUGUGGGUUGUUACAGCAUUAGAAAGCUUACAUUCAUAGGCGUACCGGGCGGGGGGGGGGGGGGGGGGGGCCCCCCCNNNNNNNNNNNNNNNNNNNNGAAU
rnacentral:lncRNA from 1 species